UUGGUCAUCUAGAGGAAGUAAAAGUCGUAACAAGGUCUCCGUUGGUGAACCAGCGGAGGGAUCAUUACCGAGUUUACAACUCCCAAACCCUUAUGUGAACCGUACCUAUCGUUGCUUCGGCGGGAACGCCCCGGCGCCCUGCGCCCGGAUCCAGGCGCCCGCCGGAGACCCCAAACUCUUGUGUUUUUUUCAGUAUUCUCUGAGUGGCAAACGCAAAAAUAAAUCAAAACUUUUAACAACGGAUCUCUUGGCUCUGGCAUCGAUGAAGAACGCAGCGAAAUGCGAUAAGUAAUGUGAAUUGCAGAAUUCAGUGAAUCAUCAAAUCUUUGAACGCACAUUGCGCCCGUUAGCAUUCUAGCGGGCAUGCCUGUCCGAGCGUCAUUUCAACCCUCAGGGUCCCCGUUCCGGCGGGGAACCUGGUGUUGGGGAUCGGCCCGCCCCGUGCGGCGCCGUCCCCCAAAUUCAGUGGCGGUCUCGCUGCAGCCUCCCCUGCGUAGUARUUACAACCUCGCAUCGGAGCUCAGCGCGGCCACGCCGUAAAACCCCCGACUUUCUGAACGUUGACCUCGGAUCAGGUAGGAAUACCCGCUGAACUUAAGCAUAUCAUA
rnacentral:rRNA from 1 species